GACAGUAUUUGGUCCUGUCAUGAGGGCAGGGGACUGGACUCGAUGACCUCUCGAGGUCCUUUCCAGUCCUAGAAUCCAUGAAUCUAUAAGCAUCCAUUCCUAUAAAGCUUUAU